ACUCAAAGGAAUAGACGGGGGCCCGCACAAGCGGUGGAGCAUGUGGUUUAAUUCGACGCAACGCGAAGAACCUUACCAGGCCUUGACAUGUUAAUGCAAAUCUAAGAGAUUAGAUCCUCCCUUCGGGGACGUUAACACAGGUGGUGCAUGGUUGUCGUCAGCUCGUGUCGUGAGAUGUUGGGUUAAGUCCCGCAACGAGCGCAACCCUUGUCGUUAGUUGCCAGCAAGCAAGAUGGGCACUCUAAUGAGACUGCCGGUGCAAGCCGGAGGAAGGUGGGGACGACGUCAAAUCAUCAUGCCCUUUAUGGCCUGGGCUACACACGUGCUACAAUGGCCUGCACAGAGGGAAGCGAUGGGGUGACCCGGAGCAAAUCCCAGAAAACAGGUCUCAGUUCGGAUUGCAGGCUGCAACUCGCCUGCAUGAAGUCGGAAUCGCUAGUAAUCGCAGAUCAGCAUGCUGCGGUGAAUACGUUCCCGGGCCUUGUACACACCGCCCGU
rnacentral:rRNA from 1 species